UACGGAGGGUGCGAGCGUUGUUCGGAAUCAUUGGGCGUAAAGCGAGUGUAGGCGGGGAGGUAAGUCGAAUGUGAAAGCCCUAGGCUCAACCAAGGAAUUGCAUUCGAAACUACCUCUCUUGAGUUCGGGAGAGGGAAGCGGAAUUUCCAGUGUAGAGGUGAAAUUCGUAGAUAUUGGAAGGAACACCAGUAGCGAAGGCGGCUUCCUGGACCGACACUGACGCUGAGACUCGAAAGCGUGGGGAG
rnacentral:rRNA from 1 species